rnacentral:rRNA from 1 species
UAGGGAAUCUUCGGCAAUGGGGGCAACCCUGACCGAGCAACGCCGCGUGAGUGAAGAAGGUUUUCGGAUCGUAAAGCUCUGUUGUAAGAGAAGAACGUGUGUGAGAGUGGAAAGUUCACACAGUGACGGUAACUUACCAGAAACGGACGGCUAACUACGUGCCAGCAGCCGCGGUAAUACGUAGGUCCCGAGCGUUGUCCGGAGUUAUUGGGCGUAAAGCGAGCGCAGGCGGUUUAAUAAGUCUGAAGUUAAAGGCAGUGGCUUAACCAUUGUGUGCUUUGGAAACUGUUAAACUUGAGUGCAGAAGGGGAGAGUGGAAUUCCAUGUGUAGCGGUGAAAUGCGUAGAUAUAUGGAGGAACACCGGUAGCGAAAGCGGCUCUCUGGUCUGUAACUGACGCUGAGGCUCGAAAGCGUGGGGAGCAAACAGG